rnacentral:rRNA from 1 species
UGUCCUUAGUACGAGAGGACCGGGAUGGACAUACCUCUGGUGUACCAGUUGUCGUGCCAACGGCAUAGCUGGGUAGCUAUGUGUGGACGGGAUAAGUGCUGAAAGCAUCUAAGCAUGAAGCCCCCCUCAAGAUGAGAUUUCCCAACUUCGGUUAUAAGAUCCCUCAAAGAUGAUGAGGUUAAUAGGUUCGAGGUGGAAGCAUGGUGACAUGUGGAGCUGACGAAUACUAAUCGAUCGAAGACUUAAUCAA